CCAGACUCCUACGGGAGGCAGCAGUGGGGGAUAUUGGACAAUGGGGGGAACCCUGAUCCAGCGACGCCGCGUGAGUGAAGAAGUAUCUCGGUAUGUAAAGCUCUAUCAGCAGGGAAGAAAGAAAUGACGGUACCUGAGUAAGAAGCCCCGGCUAACUACGUGCCAGCAGCCGCGGUAAUACGUAGGGGGCAAGCGUUAUCCGGAAUUACUGGGUGUAAAGGGAGCGUAGACGGUGAAGUAAGUCUGGAGUGAAAGGCGGGGGCCCAACCCCCGGACUGCUCUGGAAACUGUGCAGCUAGAGUGCAGGAGAGGUAAGUGGAAUUCCUAGUGUAGCGGUGAAAUGCGUAGAUAUUAGGAGGAACACCAGUGGCGAAGGCGGCUUACUGGACUGUAACUGACGUUGAGGCUCGAAAGCGUGGGGAGCAAACAGGAUUAGAUACCCCUGUAA
rnacentral:rRNA from 1 species